rnacentral:rRNA from 1 species
GAGACUCUGUGCGCGUGCAUAUCAAUAAGCGGAGGAAAAGAAACUAACAAGGAUUCCCCUAGUAACGGCGAGUGAAGCGGGAAGAGCUCAAAUUUGAAAUCUUAAAGGGUUUCCCUUUACGAAUUGUAGUUUAAAGAAGUGUUUUCUGUUGGAGUUUCGGUAAAAGUUCUUUGGAAUAGGACAUCAUAGAGGGUGAGAAUCCCGUAUUUGAUCGUUACUUUCCAGCUGUGUGAUACACUUUCAAAGAGUCGGAUUGUUUGGGAAUGCAGUCCAAAAUGGGUGGUAAAUUUCAUCUAAAGCUAAAUAUUGGCGAGAGACCGAUAGCGAACAAGUACCGUGAGGGAAAGAUGAAAAGAACUUUGAAAAGAGAGUUAAACAGUACGUGAAAUUGUCAAAAGGGAAGCGUUUGACACCAGUGUUGUUUAGUUGAAAAUCAAUUCAAUAAUUUUUGAUUUUGAGUAGUAUUGACUUCAUCAGCUUGCUGCUUUCUUUUCAGAAAUUAUUGAAUGCACUUUUCAGUUAACAAGUCAACAUCAAUUUCUUUUGUUGUAAAAGGGUAAGAGGAAGGUGGCUUACGCUUCGGCGUAAGUGUUUAUAGCCUUUUACCUCUGCAAUCGGAGAGAUUGAGGACAGCAGCGUAGACUCCUUCGGGGUUAGAUACACUUGUGCUAAGCUAUAGCCUUGUAUAGACAACUUGUUGACUAUGCUCAGUCAUGUAGCUUACUCGCUUGUGCUAUUUUACCUACGCUUAGGAUGUUGAACUCUAUCACACACAG